AUUUACUUUAAAGAUACUGCUUAUCCGAUAAGCAAAUAUUGAUAGUAAAGCAGUCGUGUUGGCGAUACAAAGCCGCCAACAAGUGCAUCACAAUGAUUGGCACUUUGUAUAUAUGGGUGGCGUUGCUGGGGCUUACAGCAGCGCAAGACCCGUUUACGCUUGAUGACUUUGUCUCUGGAUCUUUUUCCCAAAGAGGAUUCACUGGAAGAUGGAUAUCAGAUACGGAAUUCACGUUUACCGUGCCAGGAGAGUCCGGUAUUUAUCUGUUUGACGUCCCGACGCUCCAACGCCGAGUACUCGUUCCUGGAGAACUUAUGGGUUUCUUAAACACCAAUAUUAUCAGCGGAUAGAAGUUACAUUUUGGCACCAAGUGAAGUUGAAUCUGUGUAUCGUUAUUCAAC